rnacentral:rRNA from 1 species
CAGCCGUAAACUAUGCUCGCUAGGUGUCAGGCAUGGCGCGACCGUGUCUGGUGCCGCAGGGAAGCCGUGAAGCGAGCCACCUGGGAAGUACGGCCGCAGGGCUGAAACUUAAAGGAUUGGCGAGGGAGCACAACAACGGGUGGAGCCUGCGGUUUAAUGGACUCAACGCCGGACAACUCACCGGGGACGACAGCAAUAUGUAGGCCAGGCUGAAGACCUUGCCUGAAUCGCUGAGAGGAGGUGCAUGGCGUAGACGUCU